rnacentral:misc_RNA from 1 species
AAGUCGUAACAAGGUUUCCGUAGGUGAACCUGCGGAAGGAUCAUUAAAGAGUAAGGGGUUAUUCGUAGCCGACCGUCAACCCUUCAGUCCGUUUAUGUAGUCAUAACCUACCGUUCGCUUUGGCGGUUGCGGACCGCUCGGUCUCGAGCUGCUGGUCUUCGGCCCGGCAAGUGCCCGCCAGAGUCUACUCAAACUCUUGUUUUAACCGGUCGUCUGAGUUAAACUUUUAAUUAAAUUAAAA